UAUGAUAAUUUGGUUACUCGA
rnacentral:piRNA from 1 species